rnacentral:lncRNA from 1 species
GAAAAAUAAAAAGAUGAACUCUUUGAGAUUAGAGGUAAUAAUAUCAAGAAAUAUCUGUUCUCAUUUGAGUGCAUGUGUCUCUGCAAAAUUCAUAUGUUGGAACUUAAAGCCCAGGGUGAUGGUAUUAAGAGGUGGUAGAAAGGCAUUUGGGAAUGGAUUACAUCAUAAAGGCUCUACCCUGAUUAAUGGGAUUAUGGAACAGGCUUCAAAGAGCUACCUGGAACUUCCAUCACUUCUACCAUGUGAAGAUAAACAUGAAUCUCUUUUUUCCCUUAUAUUUCUUCUGCCAUGUGAGAACACAGUAUUUGUCUUUUCCACCUUUCCAUGAUGUGAGGACACCCCAAGAAUGUCCCCUAAAGACAGGAAACAAGACAUGGAAUCUUCUGGCACCAUGAUCUUGGACUUCAUAGCCUCCAAAAUGAAUAGAGAACCUACAGACCCGCAUGUAUUGAAGUUUGAAACCACCUGUGUAAACAGCACACAGAUGAAGGACCACUUUACCCUGUUUCUCACACCAUAGGUGUCAUAGACAUACUAAUGAAGGGGCUGCCUCACACAGAGAGCUAUCUUACAAGGUUCUGAGAAUAAAAUGAGAGCUAGAAGAGACAUGAUUUCUACUUCAAUAUUUUAUUUGGCAACAUCCUACUGAAAAGACAAGCAAAACCACUAUGAUUCAUAAUACUUGCAGAUGAAGGCAAUAUGACACAAGAAGGUUAAACGGCCUCUCAUGACAAUUGAAGGGAACGAGAGCAAAGCCACCUGCAUAUCUUCGGCAGUUAAAGAUCAGAAUCAUAACAACAAUAACAUCUCACAAUUUUCCAAGUGCUCCUUCGGCUCUGUCUUUUUCCUCCCACCUGAGGCCCCCAGGGUGGGUGUAGACAUUCAUCUCUGCUUCAUUUGAUCCACCUCUGCUUGGCCACUGCUGGACUUUUUCUCAGGCAAAGGAGAACCCCCAGGAGAGUGGAUAAACUGGACCAAGGAGCUGCAGAGCUCAAAUAGAACACUUCUCCUUCAAAAUUUAACUCAGCUCUCGGAAACACUGAAAGGAAAUGUGGCCUAUAAUUAUCCAACGUGAGAUGCAAGGAUUGAAUGCUUUGUCCAAGCUUUGCUGUUCUAAGAGAAGUCAAGGUGAAGGGUUUAGUGCCUCUGAAGCUGGGGCAAGAAAACAAUCGGCUUCUCCAACGGUCAGUAAAGAAUACAAGGGCACAGUUAAAACAGAGCCACUGAAGUGAACAACCUUCAUGUGACCAACAGGAGAAACACCCCCUCCAGGAACCUAAGACCAGUUUGCUACAAGAAUACAAUUGGUAUUCCCCACAGUCACCCUCACAAGGGACACUUACAAAGCACACUCCAAUCUCAGCCAUUACUGACUGACAAGAGCCUGCCUGUCUGAAGCCUGCAGGCCCGAGAAGCUUCUUUCUCCCUUCUCUUGGCUAUUAGUCACAGCUGGUAAGGCUCACAGGAACCGAGACUGUUUGAAAACAGUUGGAUCACGAAAACGUUUGAGUCUUUCUGCUGCAAGCAACAAACUUGGCCCAGGCUGCCACAAGGAGAUGGAGUGGGAGUGGGGGUGGCGAUGGGAUGCACCAGGAACGAAGGAAGAAAGGGAAAUUGCUAACCACCUCACUUCAAAAUCUUCUCUGAGGGAGCCCGUGGCUAUUAUCCUGGUUCAAAUGUCACAGAUAGAAGAUAAUAAAAACAAGAAGAAAUAAAAUUCAAGAUCCAUUAGAACACUUCUGGAUUGUCCAUUACAGCAUGUAUUACCCAACAGAAAGAUGAUCACUAAUAGAUGACAAGCUAUUUAAUUUUAUGUUUACUUUUGGAAGGAUGCAGGUACUGUGCAGGGUUUCUACAACACAUCAGCAUUGCUUACACCAGUACUUCAAAUAUGAGUUAUUUAAUCACCCAAGUUAAAUGAAAAUAACCAAAUGAUUAAAUAAAAUCAAGUCAUACUUCAUGUGAAGACUUUA